GUGCUCGCUUUGGCAGCACAUAUACUAAAAUUGGAAUGAUACAGAGAAGAUUAGCAUGGCCCCUGCGCAAGGAUGACAUGCAAAAGUACUGCAGCCUGGACAUGAAAUGUCU